rnacentral:misc_RNA from 1 species
GCUCAUUCAAAUCAGCAGGUAGUCUUUGCUUUCUCAGUUCAUCAAUUAUCUUUCUAGUUCUGGAGCGUACUUGGCUGUAAAAUUGAAGGCUGACACUUGCUUCCAUGUUCCAAGAUGAAGUUUCUUUACCAUUGUUUUUAGGAUUUUAAAUGUACAUGUUGACUGUUAGUUUCUUAUCCUAUGGAGAAGUUAACAUUUUCGUUGGGAUCUGGAUGCCAAUUGGUGAAAAUAUUUAAUUGUAUGGGAAAUGGUGCAAUUGAACUAAAAUUAACUUCAUAAUCAAUAGCUACUACCAUUAUCCAAUAUCCUGCAAAAGAAAU